UGAGGAAUAUUGGUCAAUGGGCGCGAGCCUGAACCAGCCAAGUCGCGUGAGGGAGGACGGCCCUACGGGUCGUAAACCUCUUUUGCCGGGGAGCAACGGGCGUCACGUGUGGCGCCACUGAGAGUACCCGGAGAAAAAGCAUCGGCUAACUCCGUGCC
rnacentral:rRNA from 1 species